rnacentral:rRNA from 1 species
UGGGGAAUAUUGCGCAAUGGGGGGAACCCUGACGCAGCCAUGCCGCGUGAAUGAAGAAGGCCUUCGGGUUGUAAAGUUCUUUCGGUAUUGAGGAAGGUUGAUGUGUUAAUAGCACAUCAAAUUGACGUUAAAUACAGAAGAAGCACCGGCUAACUCCGUGCCAGCAGCCGCGGUAAUACGGAGGGUGCGAGCGUUAAUCGGAAUAACUGGGCGUAAAGGGCACGCAGGCGGUUAUUUAAGUGAGGUGUGAAAGCCCCGGGCUUAACCUGGGAAUUGCAUUUCAGACUGGGUAACUAGAGUACUUUAGGGAGGGGUAGAAUUCCACGUGUAGCGGUGAAAUGCGUAGAGAUGUGGAGGAAUACCGAAGGCGAGGGCAGCCCCUUGGGAAUGUACUGACGCUCAUGUGCGGAAGCGUGGGGAGCAAACAGGAUUAGAUACCCUGGUAGUCCACGCUGUAAACGCUGUCGAUUUGGGGGUUGGGGUUUAACUCUGGCGCCCGUAGCUAACGUGAUAAAUCGACCGCCUGGGGAGUACGGCCGCAAGGUUA